rnacentral:rRNA from 1 species
UACGUAGGGCGCAAGCGUUGUCCGGAAUUAUUGGGCGUAAAGAGCUCGUAGGCGGCCUGUUGCGUCCGCUGUGAAAUCCCGGGGCUCAACCCCGGGCCUGCAGUGGAUACGGGCUGGCUAGAGGCAGGCAGGGGAGAACGGAAUUCCUGGUGUAGCGGUGAAAUGCGCAGAUAUCAGGAGGAACACCGGUGGCGAAGGCGGUUCUCUGGGCCUGUACUGACGCUGAGGCGCGACAGCGUGGGGAGCAAACAGG